rnacentral:rRNA from 1 species
AAAGCGUGCGCAGGCGGUUCGGAAAGAAGGAUGUGAAAUCCCAGGGCUUAACCUUGGAACUGCAUUCUUAACUACCGGGCUAGAGUAUGUCAGAGGGGGGUGGAAUUCCGCGUGUAGCAGUGAAAUGCGUAGAUAUGCGGAGGAACACCGAUGGCGAAGGCAGCCCCCUGGGAUAAUACUGACGCUCAUGCACGAAAGCGUGGGGAGCAAACAGGAUUAGAUACCCCGGU